GAUGAAGAACGCAGCGAAAUGCGAUAAGUAGUGUGAAUUGCAGAAUUCAGUGAAUCAUCGAAUCUUUGAACGCACAUUGCGCCCCUUGGUAUUCCAUGGGGCAUGCCUGUUCGAGCGUCAUUUGUACCUUCAAGCCUUGCUUGGUGUUGGGUGUUUGUCUCGCCUCUGCGCGCAGACUCGCCUCAAAACAAUUGGCAGCCGGCGUAUUGAUUUCGGAGCGCAGUACAUCUCGCGCUUUGCACUCCGAACGACGACGUCCAAAAGUACAUUUUUACACUCUUGACCUCGGAUCAGGUAGGGAUACCCGCUGAACUUAAGCAUAUCAAUAAGCGGAGGA
rnacentral:misc_RNA from 1 species